AUUGUGAAUCUUUUAUUUUGACAUCUGGAUAGACAGGAAGGCUUUUAGUUUGACAUGCGCAUAGACAGGAAGCAGGAAGGGCAGAGAACAGUGGGAAAGCAUGGCUACACCUGUGUAAUCAUUCAUGUGGAAUCCAAAGCAAUCCUUCAAAGGAGUCCUUCAGAAAGCAAUAGUCGUAAGUUCUGUCAGUUCUUUGUAUAUUAAGCAAUUAAUAAUAUGGUGUUUUGAGACAUUAUUUUGUACCUUCUUUGAAGUGCAGUUAAAGGGUGCAGCUUCUGAGCUAAUGAUACAAGUGUACGCUCACCCACUACCUGCUUGUUUUUCUUUGUAGUAAUAUCAGUUUGUAUAUCUACAGUAUACUUAUUUCAUAGUCUCCUGUGUAAGUGACUGAAUAUAUUUACCUGCUGAUUAUAUGAUAAUUGAUUAAGAGUUUGUAUUAUGUGUUUUUCUAGUUUCACUCCAGUUCAAUGAUGUCAGUGCAAGAUGAUUGCUAUGUUUGGAGUCAUUAAAGGAGCAAGUACGCUCACCUUCCUGGCUCUUGAAAAGGAGUUUGGCUGGCUGUUUAUCUAUGUUCACACUCAGGGAGUUUAACACAUAGAGAGAACAGUACAGUGAAAGACUAUAUUCGUCAGAGGGAUUCUCCAGCAUAGUUAUGGAUGCCAAAAUGGACGACAAAGUGUCAUCGGUUUCCAGCUCCAAGCGCACCUCUUCUUCAAAGCAUUCAGUAGCCAGCGCCGCUGCAAAAGCCAGAGCUAUCGCUGAAGCUGCACGCACCAGGGCCACAUUUGCACAGAGGGAGCUCGAAAUAAAAAAACAAAAGGCCAAGUUGGAUUUAGAAAAGGCUACUCUUGAGGCAGAUCUAGAAGCAUUGGAACUUGAAAAAGCAGCUGCCGUUGCUGUUGCUGAGGCUGAGGUUUUAGAAGCAGCAGCAGGCAUAGACUGUGAUGAUAUACACAGCAACAGGAGUGGCAUCUCACCUUUGUCCAUCAAACAGCAAACUGAGGCAUACCUCGAAGAUCAAGCUCGAAUCAGUUUUAAACCUGCCAUAGAUUCUCAAGCCACACUGAGUCCCAUCUAUGUUAAGAAAGCAUCGCUGUCAACAAAACAAGAACUCCCAGAAUCCAACGUAGAAUAUCACACUCUAUCCACAAACCCUGGUUACUCACAGCUAAGUGAGCAUCAGCCAACUACAGGACAGCAGCCGUUCUCACCUCAGUUCACUCCAUUGAGCCCUCGCUAUUUUUGUAAGGCAUCUUCAGAACGCAGUCCACACAUACGGCAUUCAGAUACUUGUCAAAGGAUCAGUAUACAGCAAAACUCUCAGACUCCAUCUACAGGCAUGUUAGACUUUGCAAAGUAUCUGGCACGCAGGGAAUUAGUAACCGCAGGUCUCACUAAAUUUGAUGAUCAGCCAGAAGGCUACAGAGCUUGGCAGUCAUCCUUCGUCAGCACCAUUCAGGAUUUGGAGCUGACAGCCAGUGAAGAGUUAGAUCUACUAGUAAAAUGGCUUGGCAAGGAAUCAUCAGAACAUGUAAAAAGGAUCCGUGCUGCUCAUAUCACUAACCCUGAAGCUGCGCUUAAUUUGUCAUGGUUGAGACUUCAAGAAUGUUAUGCAACCCCAGAAGUGAUAGAGUGUGCUCUCUUUAAGCGACUGGACUGCUUCCCUCGUCUCACGUUGAGAGAAAACAUAAAACUAAGGGAAUUAAGUGACCUACUGAUGGAGCUUUUGGCAGCCAAGGAAGAUGGUUAUCUACCAGGUCUUAGUUACUUGGAUACUCCAAGAGGCAUUAACCCCAUUGUCGAAAAGCUGCCAGUGAACCUGCAAGAGAAAUGGCUCUCCGCUGGUUCAAGGUAUAAAGAACAGCAUAGGGUAUGUUUUCCCCCAUUUGCCUUUUUUGUGGAUUUUGUCAACAGUGAAGCCAAGGCUAGAAACGAUCCUAGUUUUGUUUUGACAAACAGCAGCCGUUAUUAUAAUCGAAAUGAAAAACCCAUGGCAAAUCAUGAUGGUGGGAGAACUGCCAUAGCCGUUCGAAAGACAAAUGUGUCUACAGUAGCUAAUCCAAGCUCCAGACAUAGAGAAGAAACAGAUGGCAGAGGCACAAAUGAUCUUGCUAAGUACUGUCCACUUCACAACAAACCCCACCCUCUGGAAAAAUGUAGGGUUUUUAAAGCGAAACCACUCACGGAACGGAAGAAGUUAUUAAAGGACCACAGACGGUGCUUUAGGUGCUGCUCAGUUACUCAUGUUGCAAGGGAAUGUCACAUGAACCUACAGUGCAAUGAAUGUGAGAGUGAUAAGCACUGCACUGCUCUUCAUCCGGAGACUACUCUCCCAGAAGUGUCGCCUCCUGCAUCAGUGUCAGAUACAGACCAGCGAAACAACUCCACAACAGAGGUAACCUCAAAGUGCACUGAAGUCUGUGGAGAUGGUCUCCUUGAACGAUCGUGCGCUAAGAUUUGCCUGGUGCGAGUUUUUCCAAAGGGACAACGAGAGCGCUCAGUCAAGAUGUAUGUCAUCCUUGAUGACCAGAGCAAUCGCUCGCUGGCCAAAUCUGAGUUUUUCCAACUCUUUGGGAUCACUAGCAACCUUUCCCCAUACUUGCUGAAGACAUGCGCUGGUACUACUGAGAUGACAGGGAGAAAGGCAGUCGGUUUCCAGAUUGAGGCUUUAGAUGGUGAAGUGUGCUUAGACUUGCCUCCACUCAUUGAAUGUAAUGACAUCAUGACCAACAGGUCUGAAAUCCCCUCACCAGAGGUUGCGGGUUCCCAUGCCCACUUGAUGCCCAUAGCGCCUUACAUUCCUGAGAUAGAUCCCGAAGCACAGAUUUUGAUCUUACUGGGAAGAGAUCUCAUUCGUGUGCACAAAGUAAGGCAACAAAUUAACGGCCCCCACAAUGCUCCCUUUGCCCAGCAGUUGGAUUUGGGAUGGGUGAUAGUUGGGGAAGUUUGCAUCAACAGGGCACACAAGCCUACUGUAGCUGUCUAUAAGACUAGUGUCCUGCCGAAUGGACGUCCAUCUUUCAUGGUGCCAUGCCAGAAUGAAAUAUCUGUGAAAGAAAAGUUGGCGUAUGGCGGGGAGCAAAGACCCAAUGUUCACCCUUUCCUGUCCAGUUAUGGCUCCAUCAACGUGCCUGCUGAGGAAAAACUUGGGGUAAGCGUAUUCACAAGACAAACGUGUGAUAACGAACCCGCUUUGUCGUUUGAAGAUGAGAGCUUUCUGAACAUCAUGCAGAAGGAGUUCUGUCAGAAUGAACAAAACAGCUGGGUUGCUCCUCUGCCAUUCAGGUCGCCCAGACCACGCCUACCAAACAACCGUCCUCAAGCCUUGUCUCGUCUCCACUCUCUGGAUCGCACAUUGGGCAAAAAUCCUAAAAUGAAAGAGCAGUUCAUUGCGUUCAUGAAGAAGCUCUUUGAAAAUGGGCACGCUGAGAAGGCACCUUCUCUCCAAGAACAUGAAGAAUGUUGGUAUUUACCCAUUUUUGGGGUCUACCACCCCCAAAAACCCGAUCAAAUACGUGUGGUAUUUGACUCAAGUGCACAAGAAAGUGGCAUUUCUCUUAAUGGCGUCCUGCUCUCAGGCCCUGACCUAAAUAACUCCCUGUUAGGCGUGCUGCUCAGGUUCAGAAAGGACAUUGUUGCUGUGACGGCCGACAUCCAACAGAUGUUCUAUGGUUUCAUGGUGAGAGAGGACCACAGAAAUUAUCUAAGAUUUCUUUGGCACAAAGAUCAUGACCUGACAAAGGAAGUAGUGGAAUACCGCAUGCGCGUGCAUGUGUUUGGGAAUAGCCCUUCACCUGCAGUCGCUAUAUAUGGACUUCGAAGAGCUUCCCAAGAGGGUGAGCACAAAUACGGACCUGACACACGCCAGUUUGUGGAGAGACACUUUUAUGUGGACGACGGACUGAUCUCUCUCUCGACAGAAGCAGAGGCUAUUGACCUUCUCAAGCGCACCCAAGCAUCACUGGCAGAAUCUAAUCUUAAACUGCAUAAGAUUGCUUCGAACAGUAUCAAAGUGAUGCAGGCUUUCACCCCUGAAGAUCUGGCUACAGGUUUAAAAGACUUGGCGCUAAAUGAGGAAGUUCUCCCAGCGCAAAGAAGCCUUGGUCUGUGCUGGAGGAUAGAUUCUGACACCUUCACAUUCAAGGUUGCAGCUGACGAUAAACCCUUCACUCGCCGAGGAGUGCUAUCGACAGUUAACAGCCUCUUCGACCCACUGGGCUUGGCCGCUCCAGUGACCAUCCGAGGACGAGCACUACUAAGGGAACUUUCAGCUGACAUAUGCGACUGGGAUAGAGAACUUCCCACAAACAAGUUAAAUGAAUGGGAAACAUGGAGAAGAUCACUACAGGAUUUAAGUAAUCUUCAGCUUCCUCGUGCCUACAUACAACAGUCCCUCUCCACUGCCAUGUAUACUGAGCUUUGUGUAUUUUCUGACGCCUCAAACUGGGCCAUAGGAGCAGUAGCUUACCUGAAAGUCAUCACUACAGAUGGACAGUGUCGAGUCGGCUUUGUACUUGGGAAAGCCAAGCUAGCUCCUAAACCAGAGCCCACAAUCCCUCGCCUGGAACUCUGUGGGGCAGUGCUGGCCGUCGAAGUGGCAGAACUAAUCCUCAGGGAACUCGAUCUUAAACCUGAUACUGUGAAGUUUUUCUGUGACAGCAAGGUGGUUCUCGGAUACAUCCACAAUGAUUCUAAACGAUUCUAUGUGUAUGUGCACAAUCGUGUUCACCGAAUUCGACAGACAACUUCUCCUCAGCAGUGGCACUACGUGCCAACAGAUCAGAAUCCAGCUGACCUAGCCACCAGAUCGGUCCCAGCAUCUCGGCUUGGAGAGACUAUGUGGUUUACAGGUCCAGAUUUUCUUCACAAGCCUCCUGUGGCUCAAACAUUUGAGCCCUUUGAACUGGUCGAACCAGAUACAGACGUGGAGGUAAGACCACAGCUGACAUCCUGUGCUACCCAUAUAACCGAGGGUAAGCUGACUUCAAAUAGGUUCCAACGCUUCUCCACCUGGAGGUCUUUACUGAGAGCAGUUGCCUUCUUGAGCCACCAGACUCAAUCAUUCAGUACCAACCCCCCAAAUACUUGUAGAGGAUGGCAUAUGUGCAACAAACUUCAUACUCCAGAAGAACUGGAGGCAGCAAAGCUGACCAUACUUAGGUUGGUCCAAAGGGACGCUUAUCCUGAAGAGUAUGUUGCACUGCAAGAGAAUAGAGCAAUUUCAAAGACAAGCACAAUCCUCAAGCUGGACCCUUUCAUGGACAACGGUCUUUUACGGGUUGGUGGACGUCUGAAACACUCCACUGUUAGUCUUGGAAUGAAAAAUCCAAUCAUUCUUCCAAAACAGAGUCAUGUGACCAAAUUGCUAGUGACCCAUUACCAUGAAAAGAUAAAACACCAAGGACGACAGUUUACAGAAGGGGCAAUCAGAGCGGAAGGCCUGUGGAUUGUUGCUGGCAAAAGGUUGAUUAGCUCUGUAAUCCAUUCCUGUAUUGUCUGCCGAAAGCUGAGAGGAAAACUGGAAGUCCAGAAAAUGGCCGACCUUCCCCCAGAACGUCUGAGCAUGUCUCCUCCCUUUACAUAUGUAGGGUUGGAUGUUUUUGGUCCGUGGGAGGUAAUCACCCGAAGAACCCGAGGUGGAGCAGCUCAGAGUAAGCGAUGGGCGAUCCUUUUCACAUGCAUGAGUACCAGGGCUGUGCAUAUAGAAGUCAUUGAGUCCAUGGACUCAAGUAGCUGCAUCAAUGCACUACGCAGACUUUUUGCUUUAAGAGGGCCUGUGAAGCAGCUGAGGUCAGACUGUGGUACAAACUUUGUUGGAGCAUGUUCUGAAUUAGGAAUAAGACAAGAUGAUCAGAGUCAAGACAAGAUCCUGAGAUACCUCUACGAACACGGCUGUACAUGGGAGUUCAACCCCCCGCAUGCCUCGCAUAUGGGAGGUGUGUGGGAGCGCAUGAUUGGGGUAACCAGGAGGAUACUGGACUCCAUGUUGUCUCACGGUAAACACAGUUCCUUGACUCAUGAAGUGCUCUGUACCUUGAUGGCAGAGGUGUCUGCUAUAAUCAACGCGAGGCCAUUGAUCCCAGUCUCCUCCGAUCCUUCUUCACCACUGCUGCUGACUCCCGCUAUGAUAGUAACGCAGAAACCUGGUGUACCACCUCCAGCUGGCGAGUUUGUUGGAAAAGAACUUUUGAAGUGCCAGUGGAGACGAGUACAGGCACUUGCUGACGAAUUCUGGACCCGAUGGAGAAAUGAAUAUCUACACACUCUGCAGCCAAGACGCAAGUGGCAAGUAGCAUGUCGCAACUUACAAGUGGGUGAUGUAGUGUUGCUCAAACAGAAGCAGUCAUCUCGUAACGAGUGGCCGAUGGGGUUGGUCACUACCACCUUUCCAAGUAGUGAUGGGAAGGUGCGCAAAGUGGAAGUCAGAACAACAUCACAAGACAAAGUAAAGACUUUCUCAAGGCCUAUAAGUGAUGUUAUUUUGCUCUUAUCAAUCGAGAGUCAGAAGUCAACCAAAGACAGUUAAGCACAAAGUGGCAUAUUUGGGAAUGCCAGACGGGGAGUGUUCUGUUUUCAAUAUGUUCAUAUGCUAAUGAGACAAAUAAGUGUAAAGUGUAUUUCUAUUGUUAUACAUUGGAAAAUUGUGAAUCUUUUAUUUUGACAUCUGGAUAGACAGGAAGGCUUUUAGUUUGACAUGCGCAUAGACAGGAAGCAGGAAGGGCAGAGAACAGUGGGAAAGCAUGGCUACACCUGUGUAAUCAUUCAUGUGGAAUCCAAAGCAAUCCUUCAAAGGAGUCCUUCAGAAAGCAAUAGUCUUUCACUCCAGUUCAAUGAUGUCAGUGCAAGAUGAUUGCUAUGUUUGGAGUCAUUAAAGGAGCAAGUACGCUCACCUUCCUGGCUCUUGAAAAGGAGUUUGGCUGGCUGUUUAUCUAUGUUCACACUCAGGGAGUUUAACACAUAGAGAGAACAGUACACUGA